rnacentral:miRNA from 1 species
UUUUUCUACUGUUUUCUAAAAGGAUUUUGAAUUGUCUGUGUUGAGAUCACUUGCGGUGGCAUCCAGGGUAGAGAUGGGAGGUCAGGAGGAAGC